ACCUGGACAGCAUACCGACGAUGCUCCUUCCUCACCGGUCUUUCGCCGACUGAUGAAGCACCGUUGGACCUUCAAACAAGCCGGAACUAACCCGAUAAUUCGGGCAAUUGCAACUUUCCGGAUCGAUCUCUCCCGCCAGCUGACUGAAUAGAGCGAGCUGAAAACGAGACAAAGCAUCUGCCAUUGAAUUCUGACAACCAGGAACAUGUUUCGCCUUUAACCAUAUGUUAUGUUUGAAAGCUCUAAAAACUAUUUGGCGUAAUAUAUUAACAACUGGUGGAGAUUUUGCAGAUAAAGUAUUUAUUACUUGAACUACACCCAUGUUGUCACAAUGUAAAAUAAUCCUUUUAUUUGUUAGCAAAUGUCCCCAAAUUUCCAAUGCCACCAAUAUUGGGAAUAAUUCAAGUAAAACCAAAUUUCUAAUCAAUUCCGUUUGACUCCAAAAAUCGGGCCAAGCUGCAUAACACCAAUGUUGUUUAAACACUACACCAAAACCUGUUGAUGCUGCUGCAUCCGAAUAAAGAUGCAAUGCAGAAUUGUCAACAAAAUUAUCUUGCCAGCAGGUUCUACCAUUAAAAUGCUGUAAAAACUGCUGCCAAAUGAUCAAAUCCUCUUUGACAGCAUUCGGGAUACGAAUAUGCCAACUAGGGUUACUCACACCUAUCGUCAAUUGUAUGAGCCUCUUGUUGAAAACCCUACCAAUUGGGAUUAUCCUAGUCGCAAAAUUUAAAUGCCCUACCAGCGACUGAAUAUGCUUUAAGGUAAGCUUCUUAGCCGUUAAAGCAGCUGAAAGCAAACUUUUCAAUUUGACCAAUUUAACUUCUGGUAAUCUGAAUUCCAUGUUGUUAGAAUCAAUCUCA